GGAUGGGGGGAGGCUGAAGAGGAGUUGCAAAAGGCAGCCCCUGCAGUUUUGGAUCCUGGAUACAAACAUUGUGAUCAAAAGGUUAAUGAUGGAAAUCCGUGGGAGAGCAAUGUUCCUCAAGCUAAUGGAUCUGUGAUAGAUAAUGAAUGGGGAAAUCAUUGGAAUGAUUCCUAUGGAUGCAAGAAUAAUUACAACGAGUGGGACAAUAAUUAUAACCAAUGGAAUAAUUUCAAUGAUACAACUGGUGGAGAUUGGGAAACAUGGGAUGGGAAUAACAGGAAGAGAGAGGGUACUGGCUUGUACAUGUCAAGGUACAAAACCUCCAGGUUUCGAGGGAAUGACUAUCAGAUGGAUCGUGGAUGGAACGGAAGGGGUCGGAAGAAGAUGAAUUUUGCAUACUAAUGGUCACUUCUAUAAGAGACUGUUUUGAGGUAGGUCAGCACAAUGAAUUCAUGUUGACCAGCAACCCAAGGCAGAUUUUGGCAUAGUAGGAAUUCUGUGGAAGAAGUGGGUGACAAAAUUUUUGUAAGUGUGAAGUAUAUAAUACUGUAGGCUGUUUACUUCCUAUCAUUUUAUUUAUUGUAAAUGUGUGAGAACAUAAUAGUACAUAAAAUAGGGUGUUACCAGCUGGGCUAAGUUCCUAUAAAGUUUGUUUUUAUGAGGCAAUUUUGUAGAUUGCUUGAGAAAGCAUGGGCUUAGUAGUAUUGGGAGAGUGUUAUUGUUAGUUAAAAUGUAAAAUGGCCAUCUCAAGAUAUUUUCUUUAUUUCUGUAGGCAUGUAGUGAGGAU
rnacentral:misc_RNA from 1 species